UCCUUAAUAUUUUUUCCAUAGAGAUGCAGGCAUCGACGUAGAAGUUCAGAGAAUUACAAAGUGGUAUGAUAUCCAAGCAGUAUUAAAGAAUGUCAUGAUAAGCGACCAAAUCGAUUUUGAAAGUUAUAAUAUUGAACAAAUGCGCAAAGAUUUUGGUGCGCCAUUAUUUGUUUCAUUUUCAGGUUGAUAUUAUGCACUUAGGCCAAACACAUUCUUCCUCAAUGUCGUCAACUCUUAGCCUUUCGACAUCAAUCCUCAAGGAAAAAACGGAGGAAAGCAUUUAAUGGAGAUUUACAAAAGAAAUGAUUGCUUUCAACAACAACAACGUUAUUAAACAGAAAACUAAGAAAUCAUUCCAUGCAGAUACAGAUACCGAAACUUGAUUCAAUAGCUUGAAGUAUGACAAUUUAUCGGUCGAAUAAUUCAACAGCUUGUGGGCGGCAUGUAGCCAGUUAACUUCAUCGAACAAAGCGAAAUAUUUGAAAAAGGGCCCUAAUAAAAAAACUUAAGAUACAGACUGUUUGUUUUUUCUACACAUUAUGAGAAGCUUUUUGCCUACUAAAAUGAAGCUUAAAACUAACUAAAAUUGUUAGCAGAUCGAUAAAGACUUUCAAACGUUCUAUGCAACCAGCACAUCAAUACCUUCCUUGUGGCAAAAUCAUUGGAAUACAUCAAAAACUUCAUGAAGGAAAACAUUAAGGACUAAAAGGUUACAGAAACAUUGAACGACUUGGGAGAUACUAAUUUUGAAGAAGGUGAUUUCGUGCUAAAGAUAAUUAAAAGUAUUCACUUCUAAUUAUUUUCAAUAGCAGCAGUUUCAAGAAAAUGUGGAACCGGAGCCAAGUCAAGAAGCAAAUUCACCAUCAAUGAGUGACUGAUGGCCUUUAUCUUUAAAGCAGAGACGAUGCAAAGUAUUAGAGGACAACAUAGCAUUCCGGAAAUCCAGAGGUGAAACUAUUCAACCUCUAAUACUUACAGUAAGGGAACAAAUUAAUACUUAAUUUUGUUAUACGGCCACAAAAUCACGACAACCAAUGUCUUAAAAGCUGUGGAAGUCUGUUUCAAAUACUUUUUUUGUUCAACUUAAACUUCAUUGAAAGAUGAAUCCAGAACUGUCAACAAUGCAACCU